UACGAAGGACCCAAGCGUUAUCCGGAUUUAUUGGGUUUAAAGGGUGCGUAGGCGGACUGUUAAGUCAGUGGUGAAAGCUCCGAGCCUAACUCGGAAAUUGCCAUUGAUACUGAUGGUCUUGAGUACAUUUGAGGUGGGCGGAAUGUGUCAUGUAGCGGUGAAAUGCUUAGAUAUGACACAGAACACCGAUUGCGAAGGCAGCUCACUAAACUGUAACUGACGCUGAGGCACGAAAGCGUGGGGAGCAAACAGG
rnacentral:rRNA from 1 species